UGGGGGAUAUUGCACAAUGGGCGAAAGCCUGAUGCAGCGACGCCGCGUGGGGGAUGAAGGCUUUCGGGUUGUAAACCUCUUUCGCUAUCGAACAAGGCCCGCUUAGGGUGGGUUGAGGGCAGGUGGAGAAGAAGCGCCGGCUAACUACGUGCCAGCAGCCGCGGUAAUACGUAGGGCGCGAGCGUUGUCCGGAAUUAUUGGGCGUAAAGGGCUUGUAGGCGGCUUGUUGCGCCUGCUGUGAAAACGCGGGGCUUAACUUCGCGCGUGCAGUGGGUACGGGCCGGCUUGAGUGUGGUAGGGGUGACUGGAAUUCCAGGUGUAGCGGUGGAAUGCGCAGAUAUCUGGAGGAACACCGAUGGCGAAGGCAGGUCACUGGGCCAUUACUGACGCUGAGGAGCGAAAGCAUGGGUAGCGAACAGG
rnacentral:rRNA from 1 species